rnacentral:rRNA from 1 species
GUGCCAGCCGCCGCGGUAAUACCGGCAGCACGAGUGAUGACCGCUAUUAUUGGGCCUAAAGCGUCCGUAGCUGGCCGUGCAAGUCCAUCGGGAAAUCCGCGCGCUUAACGCGCGGGCGUCCGGUGGAAACUGCAUGGCUUGGGACCGGAAGACCAGAGGGGUACGUCCGGGGUAGGAGUGAAAUCCCGUAAUCCUGGACGGACCACCGGUGGCGAAAGCGCCUCUGGAAGACGGAUCCGACGGUGAGGGACGAAAGCUCGGGUCACGAACCGG